CCCGGCACCACAAGUCAGACCCCUACGCAGCCGGUCAUCUUCGUGAAGCUCCCUCUCCGCUUAUGAUACAUUCCCCUCAGAUGCCACAGUUCCAGAGCCUGACCCAUCAGUCUCCUCCCCAGCAAAAUGUCCAGCCUAAGAAGCAGGAGCUGCGCCCACCUUCAGUCGUCCAGCCCCAGCCCCUGGUGGUAGUAAAAGAGGAGAAGAUUCACUCACCAAUCAUCCGCAGCGAGCCUUUCAGCACCUCACUUCGACCAGAGCC